rnacentral:rRNA from 1 species
ACCAGACUCCUACGGGAGGCAGCAGUGGGGGAUAUUGCACAAUGGGGGAAACCCUGAUGCAGCGACGCCGCGUGGGUGAAGAAGUAUUUCGGUAUGUAAAGCCCUAUCAGCAGGGAAGAAAGAAGACGGUACCUGACUAAGAAGCCCCGGCUAACUACGUGCCAGCAGCCGCGGUAAUACGUAGGGGGCGAGCGUUAUCCGGAUUCACUGGGUGUAAAGGGAGCGUAGACGGCCGUGCAAGCCAGGAGUGAAAGCCCGGGGCCCAACCCCGGGACUGCUCUUGGAACUGUGCGGCUGGAGUGCGGGAGGGGCAGGCGGAAUUCCUGGUGUAGCGGUGAAAUGCGUAGAUAUUAGGAGGAACACCAGUGGCGAAGGCGGCUUACUGGACAGUAACUGACGUUGAGGCUCGAAAGCGUGGGGAGCAAACAGGAUUAGAUACCCCGGUAA